AUCGCCUUCCUUACUCUUUUCCUUCCUCUUUUUUGAUUUUGCCUUGUCAAGUCAAACCCACAAGAAAAAAAUCUCUUCAGAACUCAUUGAUGCAUGAUACUAACGAAUACGACUUUCAUGUAAGGUAGCCGUAUGAUAGGAGCAUGGAAUAUGUAUGAAAAACAGGACGACAUUACAUAUUGACAUGUAUGAUGUAUAAAGUGUAAACUAAGCACAAGGUGUUUGAACUAGUUAGAAGCAAUGCUAGAUAGAAACCAUAUGAAACAUGAAACCAAUAUCACUCUGCCAAAUUAAAAGGGUGGCCUCAUAAAUGCAUUUGACCAAAUUAGAAGCAAUACAUGGCAACAUGCUAGAAAUCAUAUGCAAUAUGCAACGAAUAAAGGUGUCUCAUCGUAAGUGAUUGAUGCAGGAUAUAGAAGAGAGGUAGUUUCAUGUAAGAACAUGGUUAACACAUAGAUGUAGUAUGUACCAAAAAUAGGAAGGCAUGUCAAAUUCACAGGUAUAAUGUGUAAACGAAGAAGAUGCAAUCUACCCUAAUUAGAAGCAUUACAAGCUAGACACCGUAUGCAACAUGCACCCACAUAUCACACUGCGAAGUUAGAGCAAGCACCUGCGGUGUUGGUGUAGGGUAAAUGAUGUCUUUAAAUACAAAGCUACAUUCAAUAUCUUCAUUUAGGCUUGCCGUUUCUUGAGAAUCAUGUGGGGAGGAUGAAACUCCACUCUUUAUAAGAGUAGCGCGUCUCAUACUAACCCACGGGCGUGACUGUGUCGCCAUAAGUGAUAGAUGCAGGAUACAC
rnacentral:lncRNA from 1 species